UACGUAGGGUGCGAGCGUUGUCCGGAAUUAUUGGGCGUAAAGGGCUCGUAGGCGGUUUGUCGCGCCGGGGAGUGAAAACUCAGGGCUUAACCCUGAGCCUGCUUCCGAUACGGGCAGACUAGAGGUAUGCAGGGGGAGAACGGAAUUCCUGGUGUAGCGGUGAAAUGCGCAGAUAUCAGGAGGAACACCGGUGGCGAAGGCGGUUCUCUGGGCCGAUACUGACGCUGAGGAGCGAAAAGCGUGGGGGAGCGAAACAGGA
rnacentral:rRNA from 1 species